rnacentral:misc_RNA from 1 species
AACGCAUCUUGCGCUCCUUGGUAUUCCGAGGAGCAUGCCUGUUUGAGUGUCAUUAAAUUCUCAACUACAUGGAUUCGUGUAGCUUGGAUUUGGGAGGCUUCAUUUCUGCUGGCUUGUGAAUCAAGUCGGCUCUCCUGAAAUACAUUAGCAGGGCAUAACUUUGUAGAACGGGUCUAUAGGUGUGAUAAAUUUAUCUACGCCUUGGAUGUCUGCAUGACAAUGGUUUAUACUGCUUUUAAUGUCAUCUCUCGCUUGAGAGACAUUUAUUUGACAAUUUUGACCUCAAAUCAGGUAGGAUUACCCGCUGAACUUAA